GCCGAGAUAGCCUCAGUUGGGACGAGCGUCAGACUGAAGAUCUGAAGGUCCCUGGUUCAAAUCCGGAGAGUAUCGUAUGAGCU